CUGGAGAUGGACAUAAUUGCACAGAUAUCGACGAGUGUGCUACCGGAAGCCAUACCUGUGAAAACAAACCGAAUUCUGAGUGCAGUAAUACCGAAGGAUCAUUCAAAUGUCCUUAUGCUUUUGGAUACGAAAGCAACGACAAUGGGCAUACUUGUUCAGUUGAUCCAUGCCAUCAAUACGAAACUCUAAACAGUUCUGAUAGAAAUAUUAACAACGAAGAAUCUCCGGAUAAUCCAUUAUGUGACAGUUAUCAAUCGCUGUCCAGCAAUGGCAACUGGUAUCGUUUUCAAGGAGCUGCAGGAACAAGAUUACCAACCCAAAGUGUCCAGCAACCUUUAGAUGUCACAUUCGAUAUCCUGGAUGUUGAAUGUUAAAUACAAAC